ACGAACGCUGGCGGCGUGCUUAACCCAUGCAAGUCGAACGGAAAGGCCCCUUUGGGGGUCCUCGAGUGGCGAACGGGUGAGUAACACGUGAGUAACCUGCCCUUGACUUCGGGAUAACUUCAGGAAACUGGGGCUAAUACCGGAUAGGAAUCCUUGCUGCAUGGUGGGGGUUGGAAAGCUUCGGCGGUUUUGGAUGGACUCGCGGCUUAUCAGCUUGUUGGUGGGGUAGUGGCUUACCAAGGCUUUGACGGGUAGCCGGCCUGAGAGGGCGACCGGCCACAUUGGGACUGAGAUACGGCCCAGACUCCUACGGGAGGCAGCAGUGGGGAAUAUUGCACAAUGGGCGGAAGCCUGAUGCAGCAACGCCGCGUGCGGGAUGACGGCCUUCGGGCUGUAAACCGCUUUCAGCAGGGGCGAAGCUUGUGGUGACGGUACCUGCAGAAGAAGCACCGGCUAACUACGUG
rnacentral:rRNA from 1 species